rnacentral:rRNA from 1 species
UUACCAGGCCUUGACAUGCAGAGAACUUUCCAGAGAUGGAUUGGUGCCUUCGGGAACUCUGACACAGGUGCUGCAUGGCUGUCGUCAGCUCGUGUCGUGAGAUGGUUGGGUUAAGUCCCGUAACGAGCGCAACCCUUGUCCUUAGUUACCAGCACGUUAUGGUGGGCACUCUAAGGAGACUGCCGGUGACAAACCGGAGGAAGGUGGGGAUGACGUCAAGUCAUCAUGGCCCUUACGGCCUGGGCUACACACGUGCUACAAUGGUCGGUACAAAGGGUUGCCAAGCCGCGAGGUGGAGCUAAUCCCAUAAAACCGAUCGUAGUCCGGAUCGCAGUCUGCAACUCGACUGCGUGAAGUCGGAAUCGCUAGUAAUCGUGAAUCAGAAUGUCACGGUGAAUACGUUCCCGGGCCUU